rnacentral:rRNA from 1 species
UACGUAGGGGCCUAGCGUUGUCCGGAUUUAUUGGGCGUAAAGAGCUCGUAGGCGGUUUGGUGAGUCGGGUGUGAAAUCUCCACGCUCAACGUGGAGGGGCCACCCGAUACUGCCAUGACUAGAGUCCGGUAGGGGAGUGUGGAAUUCCUGGUGUAGCGGUGAAAUGCGCAGAUAUCAGGAGGAACACCUAUGGCGAAGGCAGCCUUCUGGGCCAACACUGACGCUCAUGCACGAAAGCGUGGGGAGCAAACAGG